rnacentral:lncRNA from 1 species
CAUCUCAGGUGGCCACGUCAACCCUGCCGUCACCUUCGGUGCUUUCGUUGGCGGGAACAUCACUCUCUUGCGCGGCAUUCUUUACUGGAUCGCCCAACUCCUAGGCUCAACCGUCGCUUGCCUGUUGCUUAAGUUCGCUACCGGCGACCUGGUAACAUCACCAUUUCCCUCCAAACUACUCCGUUACAAAAUCAGUUAUUUCCGUUAUUGCACAGUGUCUUAUUUUAUUUAUUAAUUUGGCGGGUUUUGUUACGGUGCUUCGCAGGCUGUACCCGCUUUUGGGUUGUCAUCAGGUGUGGGCGUGUCUAACGCAUUGGUUUUCGAAAUCGUGAUGACCUUCGGAUUGGUGUACACAGUGUACGCCACAGCCGUUGAUCCCAAAAGGGGAAGCUUGGGAACAAUCGCACCAUUGGCAAUUGGUUUCAUCGUGGGGGCCAACAUUUUGGCAGGAGGUGCCUUCGAUGGAGCCUCAAUGAACCCAGCUGUUUCAUUCGGACCAGCCUUGGUUAGCUGGACAUGGGAUAACCACUGGAUCUACUGGGUCGGACCCCUUAUCGGUGGUGGGCUCGCUGGUCUCAUCUACGAGUUCAUCUUCAUCAGCAACACCCACGAGCAGCUCCCAACCACCGAUUAUUAAGCCUAAUCAGGGUUUAAUUGAUUUGUCUGUCACUUUGAAACCG